rnacentral:rRNA from 1 species
UACGUAGGGUGCAAGCGUUGUCCGGAAUUAUUGGGCGUAAAGAGCUCGUAGGCGGUUUGUCGCGUCGGGAGUGAAAACCCAGGGCUUAACUCUGGGCUUGCUUUCGAUACGGGCAGACUAGAGGCAUGCAGGGGAGAACGGAAUUCCUGGUGUAGCGGUGAAAUGCGCAGAUAUCAGGAGGAACACCGGUGGCGAAGGCGGUUCUCUGGGCAUGUCCUGACGCUGAGGAGCGAAAGUGUGGGGAGCGAACAGG